rnacentral:tRNA from 1 species
GCCAGAAUAGCAAAGUGGAUAAUGCAGUAGAUUUAGGUUCUAUCAUUAGAGGUUCGAUUCCCCUUUCUGGUU